rnacentral:tRNA from 1 species
UCCCAGGUGGCUCAGUGGUAAAGAAUCUGCCUUCCAAUGCAGAAGACAUGGGUUCAAUCCCUGAUCUGGGAA